AGCUUCAUGGCGCAGUGGAAGCGCGCCGGGCUCAUAACCCGGAGGUCCUCCGAUCGAAACGGAGUGAAGCUA